GUUACAGCCCAACCAAUCACCCA
rnacentral:siRNA from 1 species